rnacentral:rRNA from 1 species
AUUGAACGCUGGCGGCAGGCCUAACACAUGCAAGUCGAGCGGUAGAGAGAAGCUUGCUUCUCUUGAGAGCGGCGGACGGGUGAGUAAUGCCUAGGAAUCUGCCUGGUAGUGGGGGAUAACGUUCGGAAACGGACGCUAAUACCGCAUACGUCCUACGGGAGAAAGCAGGGGACCUUCGGGCCUUGCGCUAUCAGAUGAGCCUAGGUCGGAUUAGCUAGUUGGUGGGGUAAUGGCUCACCAAGGCGACGAUCCGUAACUGGUCUGAGAGGAUGAUCAGUCACACUGGAACUGAGACACGGUCCAGAGUCCUACGGGAGGCAGCAGUGGGGAAUAUUGGACAAUGGGCGAAAGCCUGAUCCAGCCAUGCCGCGUGUGUGAAGAAGGUCUUCGGAUUGUAAAGCACUUUAAGUUGGGAGGAAGGGCAGUAAAUUAAUACUUUGCUGUUUUGACGUUACCGACAGAAUAAGCACCGGCUAACUCUGUG